rnacentral:rRNA from 1 species
UACGUAGGGUGCGAGCGUUGUCCGGAAUUACUGGGCGUAAAGAGCUCGUAGGUGGUUUGUCGCGUCGUCUGUGAAAUUCCGGGGCUUAACUUCGGGCGUGCAGGCGAUACGGGCAAUACUUGAGUGCUGUAGGGGAGACUGGAAUUCCUGGUGUAGCGGUGGAAUGCGCAGAUAUCAGGAGGAACACCGAUGGCGAAGGCAGGUCUCUGGGCAGUAACUGACGCUGAGGAGCGAAAGCAUGGGUAGCGAACAGGAUUA